AUUUAUUUAUUUAUUUAUUCAAUAAUACUUGCAGAGUAAGGGUUAACCCUUAUAAAUAUUCUACAAUCGGAAAUUUUGUUGUUCACACCACAUUCUAACAAUAACUCAUGAUUUCAAGAUGGAAAUCCUAUCCAUAACAAUUACAUACACUCCCGUUCAAAAGUUUGGGGUCACCCCCUCAAAAACAUGUCAUUUUUUUAGGCCCAUAUAUCCGCCAAUUUGCGUCCGAUUUCAAAACCCUAGGUUUCAUUCAAAAGAUAAUAAGUCAAAGAAACUUUGAACAUGAUUUAAAAGAAACUUUUUCAAAAAAUUGUGUAUGUAAACUUAACCCAAAGUUGCCAAAUUUUCUAAAAAAUGAAUAUAAACUUACGGCAGUUUCGCUGGAAAUUGGGUCGACCAAAUUUUAAGAUGAGAGCGGUAAUAUGACCCAUUUUCUAUUAGCUUUCAACUGCUUUUUACAGAACUUAGCUAAAAAAUCUAGAAAAAAAAGUUAUUAAGUAAAUUAAUCCUUGAUGUCAUCGACCAAAAGUUUGGGGUCACUAUCGUAAAACAUGGAAAAGUGAUUUGUUGAUAUCUUUGUCAUCUUUCAUUCAAUUUUAAUUCUUCUUGGCUUAUUUGAAACAAAAUGAAUGAUACUUACUGCAUAGACAUUGAACCACACAUAUUUGUUGAAAUUUACAUACUAAAACUCAACGUAAAGUUGCCUCAAUUUUUGAAGCGUGGUAAAAUGUGCUAACUUUACAUAACAUUUUUAUAUGCAAAAAUCGUUAAAUACGUUAAGUUGAAGACAUCAAACGUAAAUUUAGUUAAUUAUCUUUGAAAUGAGCCAAAAAUAAUUAAAAUUGAACUAUAGAUGACGAAGAUAUCACCAAAUCACUUUUCCAUGUUUUACGAUAGUGACCCCAAACUUUUGGCCGAUGACAUCAAGGAAUAAUUUACUUAAUAACUUUUUUUUCUAGAUUUUUUAGCUAAGUUCUGUAAAAAGCAGUUGAAAGCUAAUAGAAAAUGGGUCAUAUUACCGCUCUCAUCUUAAAAUUUGGUCGACCCAACUUCCAGCGACACUGCCGUAAGUUUAUAUUCAUUUUUUAGAAAAUUUGGCAACUUUGGGUUAAGUUUACAUACAAAAUUUUUUGAAAAAGUUUCUUUUAAAUCAUGUUCAAAGUUUCUUUGAUUUAUUAUCUUUUGAAUGAGACCUAGGGUUUUGAAAUUGGACGCAAAUUGGCGGAGAUAUGGGCCUAAAAAAAUGACAUGUUUUUGAGGGGGUGACCCCAAACUUUUGAACGGGAGUGUAUAUUUACCCUGUUCAAAGAUUCACCGCCAUCCUCUUCAAGCUAUCACCUUCAUUCAACCAACAUAUGCACUCUGUACGGAAUCUUCGUACUGAAGAAAUAGAUUUAAUAUUAGUUGGGAGCAGAUUCCAAAGGUUAAUUGCACGGACAAAGAAGGUAUUGCCGUAAUGUGCGGUAUUAUGUUGCAUGAGAACAAAGUGUCGAACUCUAGUGCUUCUUAAAGGCUGAGGCUUAUCAACAAGGUAACGAGGACCGUGAUGUAUUAUUUUAAAUAAGGUGACAUAACUAGGGGGAAGGGGUUGGUUUGGAACUGUAUACGGUUUUCUAAGAUCUUUCUUGAGACCCUCUGAAACUCUAAACUACUACGUAACGCCUGAGUAACGCCUCUGAAACUCGUCAAAAACCAUCUGAAGCUGUCUGAAAUGCCUUCGGAAUCCCCCUAAAACCCUUUCGGACCCCUUGUAACGCACUUGAGACCCUUAGAUAUUCCCGAAAACACCUUUGUAACGCUUCUGAAACUCGCCAAACUCAUCUGAAGCUUUCUGAAAUGCCUUCGA